UUGCUUCUGUAGCACAUAUACUACAAUCAGAACAAUACAGAGAAGAUAAGCACAGCCCCUGUACAGGGAAGAGAGUCACACAAAUUGUUCCAUAGUUUU
rnacentral:snRNA from 1 species